UGGAGGCAGCAGUAAGGAAUCUUGCACAAUGGGGGAAACCCUGAUGCAGCGACGCCGCGUGAGCGAUGAAGCCCUUCGGGGUGUAAAGCUCUUUCGGCAGGGAAGAUGAUGACGGUACCUGCAGAAGCAGCUGCGGCUAACUACGUGCCAGCAGCCGCGGUAAUACGUAGGCAGCAAGCGUUGUUCGGAGUUACUGGGCGUAAAGGGUGUGUAGGCGGUUGGAUAAGUGUGGUGUGAAAUCUCCCGGCUCAACUGGGAGGGUGCGCUACAAACUGUCUGACUAGAGUGUGGGAUGGGAAAGUGGAAUUCCUGGUGUAGCGGUGAAAUGCGUAGAUAUCAGGAGGAACACCGGUGGUGUAGACGGCUUUCUGGACCAUAACUGACGCUGAGACACGAAAGCGUGGGUAGCAAACAGGAUUAGAUACCCCGGUAGG
rnacentral:rRNA from 1 species